rnacentral:misc_RNA from 1 species
AAUGAAGAACGCAGCAAAAUGCGAUACUUGGUGUGAAUUGCAGAAUCCCGUGAACCAUCGAGUUUUUGAACGCAAGUUGCGCCCGAAGCCUUUUGGCCGAGGGCACGUCUGCCUGGGCGUCACGCAUCGCGUCGCCCCCCACAAUUCUCCGUAAAGGGAACAUGUGUUUUGGGGGCGGAUAUUGGUCUCCCGUGCUCAUGGCGUGGUUGGCCGAAAUAGGAGUCCUUUCGAUGGACGCACGAACUAGUGGUGGUCGUAAAAACCCUCGUCUUUUGUUUCGUGCUGUUGCUCGCAAGGUAAACUCUUUAAAAACCCCAAUGUGUCGUCUCUUGACGACGCUUCGACCGCGACCCCAGGUCAGGCGGGACUACCCGCUGAGUUUAAGCAUAUCAAUAAGCGGAGGA